CGGGGCUCAACCCCGUCGAGCCGUUGAAACUGGCAGACUUGAGUUGGCGAGAAGUACGCGGAAUGCGCGGUGUAGCGGUGAAAUGCAUAGAUAUCGCGCAGAACUCCGAUUGCGAAGGCAGCGUACCGGCGCCAGACUGACGCUGAGGCACGAAAGCGUGGGGAUCGAACAGGAUUAGAUACCCUGGUAGUCCACGCAGUAAACGAUGAAUGCUGGUUGUCCGGGUCGAAUGAGAUCUGGGCGGCGAAGCGAAAGCGAUAAGCAUUCCACCUGGGGAGUACGCCGGCAACGGUGAAACUCAAAGGAAUUGACGGGGGCCCGCACAAGCGGAGGAACAUGUGGUUUAAUUCGAUGAUACGCGAGGAACCUUACCCGGGCUCAAACGGGAGUGGAAUGGACCAGAGACGGUUCAGCCUACGGGCCGCUUCCGAGGUGCUGCAUGGUUGUCGUCAGCUCGUGCCGUGAGGUGUCGGCUUAAGUGCCAUAACGAGCGCAACCCCCGCCGGCAGUUGCUAACGGGCAAUGCCGAGGACUCUGCCGGGACUGCCGCCGCAAGGCGAGAGGAAGGCGGGGAUGACGUCAAAUCAGCACGGCCCUUACGUCCGGGGCGACACACGUGUUACAAUGGGCGGUACAGCGGGAAGCCAGGCGGCGACGCCGAGCGGAACCCGAAAGCCGUUCUCAGUUCGGAUCGGAGUCUGCAACCCGACUCCGUGAAGCUGGAUUCGCUAGUAAUCGCGCAUCAGCCAUGGCGCGGUGAAUACGUUCCCGGGCCUUGUACACACCGCCCGUCAAGCCAUGGGAGCCGGGGGUGCUUGAAGUGCGUCGCCGCGAGGCGCGCCCUAGAGCAAAACCGGUGACUGGGGCUAAGUCGUAACAAGGUAGCCGUAA
rnacentral:rRNA from 1 species